rnacentral:lncRNA from 1 species
ACACACUCUCACACAUGCAUACACGCAGAGGAUACUCAGCAUAGGGCUAGGGCAAUGGUUCCCUGCAGAGGGAGGAAGGGAGGCUUUUCCAAACUUUUACUUCCUCACAGAAAGUUUGAAAAAAAAAAAUUAUUGCAUAAAGGAUCAGUCAAACUAUUUCCAGUGGUGCUUAUGACCAGCUAAGUGGGAGAGGACAGAAAAAGAGGCCACUGCUGAGACAGGAGAGUCCUUCAUCCAGAAGUCUCCUUACUUCUCUCCUGCUACUCCUGUCGAGGAAGAGAAAUUCCAACCCCAACUAAAAUCAUCCUGCCUUGCCUCGGACAAGGUGGGGGGGGAAGCCAGAUCCGUUGAGCCACCCCUGCCAAGAAGCAGCCAAAUGCUCUCUGAAUUGCCGGGGCCAAACAGCGGCAUGGGCAGGGUAACUCUCGAGCCUGAGCUCGCUGCCCGCUCCUUCCAGCUCGGCAGAGCCAUCACAUAAUAAAUCAGCUAUUGGAUUUGCAGUAACAACUCUCAGGACGGUGAAAGAAUUCCGGCACAAAGCAGAUGAAGGCAGAGAUCUGGCCUCUGUGAAGCAGCUCAGAGCCACCACGGGAAGCAGAGACCGAACCGCACCGUGUGCGAGGGACCGAGCAGCUCCUGUGCCUGAACCAUCCUGCUCCCCAAACAGGGGGAGGAGGUGGGCUGGCUUUCCAGAGCUCAGCCCAAACCCCACGGCAGCUUUCUGCUUUUAUGGUAGGCUAAAUCUCCAAGCCCGGCAUUUGAGCGCUGUAAGAUUUAAAAGUCUGUGCUUUACUGUUACUCUGAGCCACCAAAUGUCUUUUCUGUUAAGAAAUCCCUAAUCUGCAAACAGUAAUUAAUCUGUGGAUAGUUUUGCAGUUAUGAAGGCACAGAAUUGUGCAUCAUUGCCCACAGACAAGCAUCUAGCUUUCUGUCUUUGAGAGUUCUUUAGACUUUUCCACUGCAACUAAUAAAGUCAACAUAAACAAAGUUAAUGCUUUAAUU